rnacentral:rRNA from 1 species
AUUGAACGCUGGCGGCAGGAUUAACACAUGCAAGUCGAACGAGAGGCGGACGGGAGAGUAAUGCUUGGGAAUCUAGCUUAUGGAGGGGGAUAACUACGGGAAACUGUAGCUAAUACCGCGUACCAUAGCAUGAGCCCAAGUGGGCUUAGGUAGUUGGUGAGGGAAAGGCUCACAAAGCCGACGAGCUCUAGCUGGUCUGAGAGGAUGACCGGCCACACUGUGACUGAGACCCGGCCCAGACUCCUACGUGAGGCAGCAGUUGGGAAUUUUGCGCUAUGGGAGCGACCUGACGGAGCCAUGCCGCGUGAAUGAAGGAGGCCUUCGGGUUUUAAAGUUCUUUCGGUAGCGAGGCGUUAACUACAGAAGAAGCACCGGCUAACUCCGUGCCAGCAGCCGCGGUAAUAC